UCAACAGAAUUCAUCUGCAAGACAGCUGGUUAGGGGUGCAAUCUAUGGGUAAAACAACUCAAGCCUUAGAAAGUGAACUCCUGACCUCAUUAACUCCAUCCUUUAAGUAAAUGAAGCAGAUGGGUCACAGACAGAAUGGAGCCAAUAAUCUUCACUGACCAUCCUAUAAUAUACUUACUCUGUUUCGAUGAGCAUUGAUUGAUGCAUACCGGACUGUUCCUCGAAAUCCUGCCACAGCACGAGGCUAGAACAUAAACAAUAGAAAAACAUAGCAGUUGCAAGCCGUGAAGAUUUGGUUCUGGUAUGAUUGUGGAGCUAAUGAACUGAAAAGAAUGAGAGCUCCUUGUGGGUUGGGACCAUGCUUUUGCCUUUCUUCAUAACCUAAGUAAGUACUUAGUAUAGUUAUAGUGCCUGACAUAUAGCAAAUGCUUCAACAUGCUUGCUGACUGACUACCCCUAUGUUAGUAGACCAUUAGUAUAUAAAAAAGGGAUGGAAGAAACAUUCCACUCAUAUUCCUCUCACCCCUCUUUAUUUAAAAUGUCCCCAAAUUCCAAAGUUUAGA